rnacentral:rRNA from 1 species
CAUUACAGAGUUAUCCAACUCCCAAACCCAUGUGAACUUAUCUCUUUGUUGCCUCGGCGCAAGCUACCCGGGACCUCGCGCCCCGGGCGGCCCGCCGGCGGACAAACCAAAACUCUUGUUAUCUUAGUUGAUUAUCUGAGUGUCUUAUUUAAUAAGUCAAAACUUUCAACAACGGAUCUCUUGGUUCUGGCAUCGAUGAAGAACGCAGCGAAAUGCGAUAAGUAAUGUGAAUUGCAGAAUUCAGUGAAUCAUCGAAUCUUUGAACGCACAUUGCGCCCAUUAGUAUUCUAGUGGGCAUGCCUGUUCGAGCGUCAUUUCAACCCCUAAGCACAGCUUAUUGUUGGGAACCUACGGCUUCGUAGUUCCUCAAAGACAUUGGCGGAGUGGCAGUGGUCCUCUGAGCGUAGUAAUCUUUUAUCUCGCUUCUGUUAGGUGCUGCCCCCCCGGCCGUAAAACCCCCAAUUUUUUCUGGUUGACCUCGGAUCAGGUAGGAAUACCCGCUGAACUUAAGCAUAUCAAA